rnacentral:ncRNA from 1 species
UUAGGUCAAAGUUAAACGGGAAACUGGUGUCCCUGUAGACCCUACAGACAUUCCAGUGCUGCCCCCGCAACGGUAAGCAACUUAGAUUUAACACACCGCCACUGAGCUCGCUUGGGAAGGCGUUAAAUCAUGAAUCUUAGGAUUUGAGUUGUAAGCCCGGAUACCGGCCUAAUUAUUUA